AUACUUACCUGGCAGGGGAGACACCACGAUCCUGAAAGUGUUUUUCCCAGGGCGAGGCGUAUCCAUUGCACUCUGGAUGUGCUGACCCCUGGGACUUCCCAAUGUGGGAAAUUAUCUGCAUAAUUUGUGGUUGUGGGGGGGCUUGUGUGCUCUCCCCUA